UAAUAAAUAAGUAGUCUAUUGUUAUACCGCAGUAUAAAACAGGCAACAUUCUUUGAGAGGUUUACAUUGGAAACUAAUUAUAUUUCACGUACUAUGAAGUAUUUUUUUGUAAUCGUGUUCCUUCUGGCUUUGGUGCUGCUUGCCAGCGCUGGUGAUGUGUGCCCAGCUGUCUACGAUCCCGUUUGUGGCGUCGACGGCGUUACAUACGGAAAUAAGUGUUUGUUGAAUAACGCUGGCGUCCGGUUAGAUCACGAGGGUCCGUGUGAGAACUGAAUCAUUCUGGUCAUCAUCAUCAAUCAUAUUGUAGAGAAAGAUUACCCGACACUCGGUCUUUAAUAAAAUUUCAAACAAUUCGA